rnacentral:lncRNA from 1 species
GGAACAUUUAGGAUUCCAAACAUCUUUAAAAAGGAUGAGGUCGGCAGAAGAGUCAGCAACCAGGCUGACUCACUGCUACUUUCAAAGGAGUUAUUGAGGUGGACAAAGACUGACCCGUGGAAUAGGGACAGAAACCCAAGAGAGAGUUAAAAACAGAGGACUUCAGCGUGAAAAGGUUCCCUAGCCAUGGGGGAGGAGGGUCACAUUGAAAAGAAAGGGAUUAAUUAUACUUGAAAUCUCACAGGAAACUUUUUCUCUUAUAGAGGACAAAAAUGAAGAAUGAAGUUUAUAAUCUGUACUGAAGUAUGUACCAGGUCAGGUGCUGAAGAUGCACACAUGGCUGGAGGCAGGGGAGAAACUGGGACAAGUUUAACACAAAUUGAGUUCAUAUUGUUGUCAUGGUUUUCAUCCUGCCUCAAGGCCAGCUCAUAUAAGGUAAAUGGAAAUGUCACUGGGGACACGGAAGCCAAGGCAUCACUUCUGUCACACCAUAGCUAAUUUGAAGACACAGAGAAACAAAGUAUCCUUGUCAGUCU